CUGGAAUAUCACGUCAUUCCGGCAUCACUAAACUGCGGGAGCAGUGCGGAGCAAGAAGACUGAGCUCCCAAGAGAAGAUCUCACACCAGCUCCCAAAGGUAAGGAGCAAUAAAUACAAUGAUUUGGGUGUGUGCAAGAAUGUUGAAGUGUGUGUGUGUCUGUCACUGUCACUGUAUGUGUGUGACUGUCAGUGUGUGUGUUUGUCAGUGUGUGUGUGUGACUGUCAGUGUGUGUGUGUGUGACUGUCAGUGUGUGUGUGUGUGACUGUCAGUGUGUGUGUUUGUGUAUGUCAGAGAGUGUGUGUGUGUCUGUCAGUGUUGCGAUGGCCGCGGCCAGACAGUGAAGAACCUGGCGGGGCACGCAACGCCACAUUCUGACGUUAACGUGCUCCACCUUCACAGGUUUUCAAGGAGUAGCAGGAGGAUGCAGACGGCGCCAUUGGGGGUAUACCAGAGGCUGGACUCCGGAGUCGCAUACUGGCAGCGGCAAUGUAAGUGGA